GUAGGUGAACCUGCGGAAGGAUCAUUACCAAAUCCAAAAAACUUUAUCAACACCCAAUGUGAACUGAGAGUGGUUUCGUUCCCCUCCUUCUUCCUUCUUUCUCUCUGCUCUUAUUCUUAAGAGUGGGGGGGAAUGAGGGGUUGGCGGGAGGGGAAUGCCUUUUUUUUAACCCCUUUACAACUAUACAACCAUUAUUUAUGCUGAAAGCAAAAAAAAAACGAAACAUGAGACAACUUUUAACGGUGGAUCUCUUGGCUCGU
rnacentral:misc_RNA from 1 species